UGGCUCAGGAUGAACGCUAGCGGCAGGCUUAACACAUGCAAGUCGAGGGGCAUCGGGAGUAGCAAUACUGCCGGCGACCGGCGCAAGGGUGCGUAACGCGUGAGCAACAUGCCCGUAUCAGGGGGAUAAUCCAUGGAAACGUGGUCUAAUACCCCAUAGUAAUUAUGUAAGGCAUCUUAUAUAAUUUAAAGCUUUGGUGGAUACGGAUUGGCUCGCGUGACAUUAGCUAGAUGGUAAGGUAACGGCUUACCAUGGCUACGAUGUCUAGGGGUUCUGAGAGGAAGGUCCCCCACACUGGAACUGAGACACGGUCCAGACUCCUACGGGAGGCAGCAGUGAGGAAUAUUGGACAAUGGAUGGAAAUCUGAUCCAGCCAUGCCGCGUGCAAGGAAGACGGCCCUAUGGGUUGUAAACUGCUUUUGUAUGGGAGCAAUAAGGGCUACGCGUAGUCCGAUGAGAGUACCAUACGAAUAAGCACCGGCUAACUCCGUGCCAGCCGCCGC
rnacentral:rRNA from 1 species